GUCCCGGUCUCGGCCGGGAUGGAGGCAAUGGUGAAAUACCACCCUGUUUACGCUUGUGGCCUAACCCCGAUUCCCGUGAAGCCGGGCGGGGGACAGUGGGCGCUGGGCAGUUUGACUGGGGCGGUCUCCUCCUAAAGAGUAACGGAGGAGCGCAAAGGUCGGCUCAGCGCGGAUGGAAACCGCGUGACGAGUGUAAGAGCACAAGCCGGCUUUACUGUGAGACCGACGGGUCGAACAGUCUCGAAAGAGGGCUCUAGUGAUCCUGCGAUCCCGUGUGGAAGGGUCGUAGCUCAUCGGAUAAAAGGUACCCCGGGGAUAACAGGCUGAUCGCGCCCGAGCGUCCAUAGCGGCGGCGCGGUUUGGCACCUCGAUGUCGGCUCUUCGCAUCCUGGGGCUGAAGGCGGUCCCAAGGGUUCGGCUGUUCGCCGAUUAAAGCGGAACGCGAGCUGGGUUCAGACCGGCGUGAGCCAGGUCGGUCCCUAUCUGUCGUGGGCGUUGCAGAUUUGAGAGGAGUUCUCCCUAGUACGAGAGGAUUGGGAGGGACCCACCCCUGGUGAUCCUGUUGGCACGCUCGUGCCAUCGCAGGGUAGCUAAGUGGGGCAGGGAUAACCGCUGAAAGCAUCUAAGCGGGAAGCCCACCUCAAGAUAAGUACUGCUAGUCGCAAGACGAGAGACCCCCGGAAGACUACCGGGUUGAUAGGCCGGACGUGUAAGCAGAGAAAUCUGUUCAGCGAACCGGUACUAACGGUCAAAGACUUGGUCCC
rnacentral:rRNA from 1 species